CAGUAGCCGCGGUAAUACGAAGGGGGCUAGCGUUGCUCGGAAUUACUGGGCGUAAAGCGUGCGUAGGUGGUGGUUUAAGUCCGUUGUGAAAGCCCUGGGCUCAACCUGGGAAUUGCAGUGGAUACUGGGUCACUAGAGUGUGGUAGAGGAUAGUGGAAUUUCCGGUGUAGCAGUGAAAUGCGUAGAGAUCGGAAGGAACAUCUGUGGCGAAGGCGACUAUCUGGGCCAACACUGACACUGAGGCACGAAAGCGUGGGGAGCAAACAGGAUUGGAUACCCCGGUAGUCCCUGUCUCUUAUAC
rnacentral:rRNA from 1 species